rnacentral:rRNA from 1 species
AGUGAACGCUGGCGGCGUGCCUAAUACAUGCAAGUCGAACGCAGUGGGGACGGGUGAGUAACAAGUGGGUAACCUCCCAUCAGAGGGGAUAAACCUUGGAAACAGGUGCUAAACCGAUACUGAUGGAUGGACCCGCGGUGCAUUAGCUAGUUGGUGAGGUAACGGCUCACCAAGGCCACGAUGCAUAGCCGACCGGAGAGGAGGAACGGCCACACUGGGACUGGGACACGGCCCAGAAUCCUACGGGAGGCAGCAGUAGGGAAUCGUCGGCAAUGGACGAAAGUCUGACGGAGCAAUGCCGCGUGAAUGAAGAAGGUUUUCGGAUCGUAAAACUCUGUUGUUAGAGAAGCGGUAUCUAACCAGAAAGCCACGGCUAACUACGUGCCAGCAGCCGCGGUAAUUC